AACGUAGGUGGCGAGCGUUAUCCGGAUUUACUGGGCGUAAAGGGUGUGCAGGCGGGACCUCAAGUGGUGCAUGAAAGCUCUCGGCUUAACCGGGAAAUGGUGUGCCAGACUGAGGACCUAGAGGGUGGGAGAGGGACGUGGAAUUCCGGGUGUAGUGGUAAAAUGCGUAGAGAUCCGGAGGAACACCAGAGGCGAAGGCGGCGUCCUGGCCCACAACUGACGCUCAUACACGACAGCAUGGGGAGCGAACGGG
rnacentral:rRNA from 2 species